CUUGUUCUAGAAAUGUUGACUGAGUUGGCAAGAAGGGAGAAGGCAACCAACAUCAAGCCAGAUCAUGAUAUUGAUGUCUAUAUGAAGAUAUUAGACUUGGAGGUAUGUGCUAAUACGCUGGUAGGGAAGGAGAUGAUGAGGGGUAUUUCUGAUGGUCAACGAAAGCAUGUCACAAUAGGGAAGAGUUAAUGUGAUGAAAAAUAGCAGCAGCAAAAGAAAGUGAAGGGAAAACAAAACAUCGAUCUCUACUUAGUUUUGUGUGAGACACAAUUCACGGUUAGUAGGACAUUCAAUCAACUAGAGUUUGCCGCUAUUUGUGACUAGAGUUCGACUUGUGACUCCAUGAAAAGCCCGAACUUCGAGUACGUAGACAAUGGGGGUUGCUCGAUGCUGGCUUCGUUGCAGCGAUGGACGGAUGAACAUCUGCAUACAUCAAAGGACAGAGACGUUGAAGAAAAUAAGUGGGAGAAAAAUGGCUCUGCCCUAAUGGAAAUUGACAGCAUCUGUGAAGUUGACAGCAACUUCGAGGAUCCACAGUUGUGCGUCGCUAUGGCUUCUGACAUCUACAUGCAUCUACGAGAA